AAAAAUUUAGUUAAUAAUAUAACAUUAGUUUGUCAAACUAAAAUAAUUUUUUAUAAAAAUAAUUUUUA
rnacentral:tRNA from 1 species